AGUAUCUAUUCAUGUGACCCGUGGACUUCCCUUUGUCAUCCUAUGCCUGAGAAUAUAUGAAGGGGGCUGGGAAGGCAAAGGGACGUUCAACUGUCAUCACUGGC
rnacentral:pre_miRNA from 13 species